ACUCAAAUGAAUUGACGGGGGCCCGCACAAGCAGCGGAGCGUGUGGUUUAAUUCGACGCGACGCGCAGCACCUUACCAGGGCUUGACAUGGGCCUGCACCCCCCGGAAACGGGGUAGCCUUCGAGGGUGGCCCGCAGAUGCUGCAUGGCUGUCGUCAGCUCGUGCCGUGAGGUGUUGGGUUAAGUCCCGCAACGAGCGCAACCCUCGCCGCCAGUUGCAGCGCUCUGGCGGGACGGCCGGCCGCAAGCCGGAGGAAGGUGGGGAUGACGUCAAGUCCGCAUGGCUCUGACGCCCUGGGCGACACACACGCUACAAUGGCACCGACAGAGGGCGCGCCAACCCGCGAGGGGGAGCCAAUCCCAGAAACGGUGCCUCAGUUCGGAUCGCGGGCUGCAACCCGCCCGCGUGAAGCCGGAGUUGCUAGUAACCGCGGGUCAGCACUACCGCGGUGAAUGCGUUCCCGGGCCUUGUACACACCGCCCGU
rnacentral:rRNA from 1 species